CGUACGGCAGAGUGCUAUAGUCCUCCUACACGGUGGUCAGCUGGCAGACAGGGAGUUUGGUCUUCCUGUUCGAGGUGCAGGCAACCCCAGCUUUUGAACAUCCAGAUCCGUGGGAGACAGUAGAUUUCACCUGUAGAGGGGUCCAGAGCGGAAGAGCAUUUGAGCUGUGCCAUAAUUGGCCGGGGUUAUUAUGGUAGAGGUAGGAUGAAAUAAUUAAGCAUAUCAUAUUGAAGGCCACGGUUGGAUAUUUGGGAUUGUUUUUUUGUUUUUUUUUUAAUUUUCCUUUUUCUUUUCUUUUAGGAUAGUUUGCUACUGUUUUGCCUAUAGUUUUUGUUCUUUUUAUUUUUUUCUUUCUUUUGUUUAGUUGUAUGUAGUGUUGCUUUUGCCUCUUUUGGUUCAGCAUAUUUUUGACUGAUUGUAAUAUUGGUUGAUUUGUGUUGUGAGACGAGUCCACUGCGCCUGAAGGACCUCGUUAGGUGUAUUAAUGCUGUCUCUGCGCUCCUUUAUUUUAACUUUAGGUAUCCGGGCUGUACUGUGUGGGGGCUCUAGCCGUAUGGUUUGUUGUGCACCUGCAUGCAGACAAGUAUUACACGGCACCUAGGGGUGUUAGUUUGCUGUGUGUGUGUGUGUGUGUGUGUGUGUGUGUUUGCGGUGGUGGCAGUGUUGUGCAAACACAUGGUGAUGUAGUCGUGGGAAGAAGAGGCUAUCUCGUACCAGUCAGCCUGGCUUGUUAAUCAUAUGUUUUUGUUUUUUUCUUUAGAGUUAGGAGUAAUUUGAAUAUAUAUAUUUUAUUAUUCGCUCAGAAACAGCAUGAUCGUGAGGGUGUGUGAGGUAUUUUCAACUCUUAAAUACCUACUUGGCAGAUAUUAUCUUUAUUAUA